rnacentral:rRNA from 1 species
GAUGAACGCUGGCGGCGUGCCUAAUACAUGCAAGUCGAGCGAACAGACGAGGAGCUUGCUCCUCUGACGUUAGCGGCGGACGGGUGAGUAACACGUGGAUAACCUACCUAUAAGACUGGGAUAACUUCGGGAAACCGGAGCUAAUACCGGAUAAUAUAUUGAACCGCAUGGUUCAAUAGUGAAAGACGGUUUUGCUGUCACUUAUAGAUGGAUCCGCGCCGCAUUAGCUAGUUGGUAAGGUAACGGCUUACCAAGGCAACGAUGCGUAGCCGACCUGAGAGGGUGAUCGGCCACACUGGGACUGAGACACGGUCCAGACUCCUACGGGAGGCAGCAGUAGGGAAUCUUCCGCAAUGGGCGAAAGCCUGACGGUGCAACGCCGCGUGAGUGAUGAAGGUCUUCGGAUCGUAAAACUCUGUUAUUAGGGAAGAACAAAUGUGUAAGUAACUAUGCACGUCUUGACGGUACCUAAUCAGAAAGCCACGGCUAACUACGUG